UUUUCGUCCUCAGACUUUGGGUGGUAGCCAGGGAGCUUCUCCUUGAGUUUCUCCAAUAUGCCCUUCUUCUCCUUGGCCUCUGCCUCAGGAGCCUCGACUGAUGUGGGGUGCUCAGCAGCAGGAGGAGAAGGGACCUGAUGAUCUUCAGGUUUCUUUUGCUGUCCUGGUAGUUUCUCCUUGAUCUUGUUGAGAAAUCCUUUCUUUUCUUCAGGAUGGGCUUCUUCCUGGUGGUGGGGAGCAUGGACAUCAUCAAGUUUCUCGACAGGGACUGUCGUGUCCUCUUCUUUCUCACCUGAUAUUUUCUCCUUGAGCUUCUCCUUCAGUCCCUUCUUUUCCUUCUUCUUCUUCUUCUUUUCCUCAUCAUCGCCCUCCUCCUCAUCGCUUGACUGCACACACACACACACACACACACACCAAAAAAACAAUUUAAAAUACGAUACUUAGGAUCAUUCGUUCAGAUUGUUUUUAUUUUUUUAUCAUAAAUUAAGAUGAUUAACAAAUGAAGAAACAGAAACUUACAGAGCUAGAGCUGCUGGUGGAUCGGUGAAGUUUGUCUAAGAAACCGGGCUUCUUCUCUUCCUCUUUCUCCUCCUUCCUGUGUUCCUCUACCUUUGGCUGAGGCUCAGAGACAUGAACUUUCUCAAACUCGGUGGCGAUCACCUCCUGAUCGUGAUGUUGAGGUUUCUCCUCUUCUUUCUUCCCCAAGAAAUCAAGCAUCCCGCGAUCCUUGGUCUCCACU
rnacentral:lncRNA from 1 species